rnacentral:rRNA from 1 species
CUUCCUACGGGGGGCAGCAGUGGGGGAUAUUGCACAAUGGGGGGAACCCUGAUGCAGCGACGCCGCGUGGGUGAAGAAGCGCCUCGGCGCGUAAAGCCCUGUCAGCAGGGAAGAAAAUGACGGUACCUGAAGAAGAAGCCCCGGCUAAAUACGUGCCAGCAGCCGCGGUAAUACGUAGGGGGCAAGCGUUAUCCGGAUUUACUGGGAGUAAAGGGGGCGCAGACGGCGAUGCAAGCAAGGAGUGAAAGCCAUGGGCCCAACCCAGGGACUGAUCUUGGAACUGCGUGGCUGGAGUGAAGGAGGGG